rnacentral:lncRNA from 1 species
CCGAAACAGGCGCUCAAGCAACGUUUGUUGAGCGUGUACCAUAUGCUGGGCACUCUUGCCGGCAGCAAAGAAAACCACAAUAACAAACAGAAAACGCACUGCCCUCGUAGAUCUUGUAUUCUAGGAGGAGGAGGCGGGUAAUAAACACAAAAUACAGAAGACGGCAGAUGAGAUAGGUUCUAUGGAGGAAAACAAAGCAGGGAAGGAGAAUGGAGAGGGUCAGGUUUAUGGUUUUAACUAGGAUGCUCAGGGAAGGCAAACUGGAGGUGACACGUGAGUCAAGAUCUGAAGGAGGUGAGGGAGCAAGUCAUGAGGAAUCGGGGAAGGGCAGACCAGGCUGGGGGUGAAGCUAGUGCAAAAUCCCCACGCAGGAGGUGACUGGAAUGUUUGAGGAGCUGCCAGAAGGAAGCACAGUGUGGCUGGAGCAGAGUGGAUGUGGGGCGUGAGGAAGGGAGAAGAGUCAAGAUACCUUCAGGGUUUUUAGCUUGUGCUGCUGGAAAAAUGGAGCGAUGUGGAUGACUCUGGAAGGAGCAAGAUGGGGUGGAGUGGGGACGAUCAGGAAUUCAGUUUUGGCUGCGAUGUCUUUUAGACAUUCACGUGGAGACGUGGAGUCAUGAGAGUCUGGAACUUAGGGGAGAGGUCCAGGCCAGGGGUGCAAAUUUCGGCACGGUCAGUGUAUGGAUGGUAUUUAAAGUUGGAUGAGACCUCGGAGGGAAUGUAGGCCGACUAGAAUGCAUGCAUCUUCAGCCCGCGUCUUCUUCCUCCGUCAGACGAUCUGGUUGCUGGCGCUGUGGGCACCAGAAGAGGGAGCUAAGGGUGGGAGGAGGGUGACCAAGGUGGGAAGAGGGGACAUCUGAAUUUGCCCUUGAAGGAGGAGGAGGCAAGGAGAUUCCAGAAGGAGGGAACAGUAUUUGCAGAGAGUGGGGAAGCAUGAAGGGGCGGAGCAAGGUGAGGCUGAGGUCCCCCACGCCCAGCCCAGUCCCCCGCCCUGUUUGGGCUUCUCUCAUCUUGUUACCCACAUUGAACUUCAUAGUCAGCUGUUUCAGGGAACAAAUGCCUGUCACCAUGACACCUUGUGCCCUUUCUCUUCUACUGCUCCCCACUCUUGGGUCUGCCCUCCCCCAGGAUGCUGGAAUUGGCUGGGUACCAGACAAGGCUUGGGAGGUGAGCCCAGCAGUCCCGAUGGGAGGCUUUGUGACUUCAGGCAGUGAGCCUCAAGUCUCUGAGGCUCAGUUUCCUUACUAAUAAAGGGAGAUCACCAGGAGCAAUCAUCUCCAGCAGCAGCAGCAUCCUCCAGGAGGGUCGUGAGAAUUAAAUGAGAUACAAUGAGAGAUUAGCCCUGAGCUAACUGCUGCCAAUCCUCCUCUUUUUGCUGAGGAAGCC